UACGUAGGGUGCAGGCGUUAAUCGGAAUUACUGGGCGUAAAGCGUGCGCAGGCGGUCUUUUAAGUCAGAUGUGAAAUCCCCGGGCUUAACCUGGGAACUGCGUUUGAAACUGGAAGGCUUGAGUGUGGCAGAGGGGGGUGGAAUUCCACGUGUAGCAGUGAAAUGCGUAGAGAUGUGGAGGAAUACCGAUGGCGAAGGCAGCCCCCUGGGCCAAUACUGACGCUCAUGCACGAAAGCGUGGGGAGCAAACAGG
rnacentral:rRNA from 1 species